AGCUUUCUUUUGACUUUCAAUAGCAUGAUAGACGGUUCUCCAUUCCCUCACUUUCAACCUGCAGGUAUCCUCAGGUCUACAAUGAGUGUCUUGCAGGUACCAAGCACAUAAACAA